rnacentral:rRNA from 1 species
GAUGAACGCUGGCGGCGUGCCUAAUACAUGCAAGUCGAGCGAACGGACGAGAAGCUUGCUUCUCUGAUGUUAGCGGCGGACGGGUGAGUAACACGUGGAUAACCUACCUAUAAGACUGGGAUAACUUCGGGAAACCGGAGCUAAUACCGGAUAAUAUUUUGAACCGCAUGGUUCAAAAGUGAAAGACGGUCUUGCUGUCACUUAUAGAUGGAUCCGCGCUGCAUUAGCUAGUUGGUAAGGUAACGGCUUACCAAGGCAACGAUGCAUAGCCGACCUGAGAGGGUGAUCGGCCACACUGGAACUGAGACACGGUCCAGACUCCUACGGGAGGCAGCAGUAGGGAAUCUUCUGCAAUGGGCGAAAGCCUGACGGAGCAACGCCGCGUGAGUGAUGAAGGUCUUCGGAUCGUAAAACUCUGUUAUUAGUGAAGAACAUAUGUGUAAGUAACUGUGCACAUCUUGACGGUACCUAAUCAGAAAGCCACGGCUAACUACGU